AGAUAUGGGUGGUUUAUAUAGAAC
rnacentral:siRNA from 1 species